GCCCAUGUGGCUCAACGGCCAGGGCUUCCUCUCAUCCUAGCUGGUUCAAGAUUUUACAGAGGAAGACGCGGGUUCGACACCCAUCGAGGGCA